UACGUAGGGUGCAAGCGUUGUCCGGAAUUAUUGGGCGUAAAGAGCUCGUAGGCGGUUUUGUCGCGUCUGCUGUGAAAACUCGGGGCUUAACUCCGGGCCUGCAGUGGGUACGGGCAGACUAGAGUGCGGUAGGGGAGAACUGGAAUUCCUGGUGUAGCGGUGAAAUGCGCAGAUAUCAGGAGGAACACCGGUGGCGAAGGCGGGUCUCUGGGCCGUAACUGACGCUGAGGAGCGAAAGCGUGGGGAGCGAACAGG
rnacentral:rRNA from 1 species